AAUGAACGCUGGCGGCGUGCUUAACACAUGCAAGUCGAGCGAGAAAGUUCCUUCGGGAAUGAGUACAGCGGCGGACGGGUGAGUAAUGCGUGAGAAUCUGCCCUCUAAUGAAGGAUACCCCCGAGAAAUCGGGUCCAAUACUGCAUACGUCCCUUCGGGGAGAAAGGUGGCUUAAUUGCUGCCGUUAGAGGAUGAGCUCGCGUGCUAUUAGCUAGUUGGUGGGGUAAAGGCCUACCAAGGCAAUGAUGGCUAGCCGGCCUGAGAGGGUGUACGGCCACACUGGAACUUAGACACGGUCCAGACUCCUACGGGAGGCAGCAGUGGGGAAUAUUGCGCAAUGGGCGAAAGCCUGACGCAGCGACGCCGCGUGGAGGAUGAAGGUCUUCGGAUUGUAAACUUCUGUUAAGUGGGAAAAAAGACUCGUUUUUAAUAGAGACGAGGGAUGAUUGUACCAUUAGAGAAAGCACUGGCUAACUUCGUGCCAGCAGCCGCGGUAAUACGAAGGGUGCGAGCGUUAUUCGGAAUCACUAGGGCGUAAAGGGUGUGUAGGCGGUGUAUUAAGUCUAUCGUUAAAUUCCUCGGCCUAACUGGGGACCCGCGAUGGAUACUGGUAUGCUGGAGGCUGGAAGAGAGGAGUGGAAUUCUCGGAGUAGCGGUAAAAUGCGUAGAUCUCGAGAGGAACACCAAUUGCGAAGGCAGCUCCUUGGUCCAUACCUGACGCUGAAACACGAAAGCGUGGGGAGCAAACAGGAUUAGAUACCCUGGUAGUCCACGCCGUAAACGAUGAUCACUAGAUGUCGGGUCUGCUUCUGCGGGCUCGGUGUCGUAGCU
rnacentral:rRNA from 1 species